rnacentral:rRNA from 1 species
UACUGGAUAUUAGGCUAUGCCUGGAAUGGUUUGCCUUUGAAAUGUUUUUUUCGCCUAAGGAUAGAUCUGCGGCUGAUUAGGUCGUUGGUGGGGUAAUGGCCCACCAAGCCGAUGAUCGGUACGGGUUGUGAGAGCAAGAGCCCGGAGAUGGAACCUGAGACAAGGUUCCAGACCCUACGGGGUGCAGCAGGCGCGAAACCUCCGCAAUGUACGAAAGUGCGACGGGGGGAUCCCAAGUGUUAUGCUUUUUUGUAUAACUUUUCAUUAGUGUAAAAAGCUUUUAGAAUAAGAGCUGGGCAAGACCGGUGCCAGCCGCCGCGGUAACACCGGCAGCUCGAGUGGUAGCUGUUUUUAUUGGGCCUAAAGCGUUCGUAGCCGGUUUGAUAAGUCUUUGGUGAAAGCUUGUAGCUUAACUAUAAGAAUUGCUGGAGAUACUAUUAGACUUGAAGUCGGGAGAGGUUAGAGGUACUACCGGGGUAGGGGUGAAAUCCUAUAAUCCUGGGAGGACCACCUGUGGCGAAGGCGUCUAACUGGAACGAUCUUGACGGUGAGUAACGAAAGCCAGGGGCGCGAACCGGAUUAGAUACCCGGGUAGUCCUGGCCGUAAACGAUGUGGACUUGGUGUUGGAAUGGCUUUGAGUUGUUCCGGUGCCGAAGGGAAGCUGUUAAGUCCACCGCCUGGGAAGUACGGUCGCAGGACUGAAACUUAA